UACGAAGGGGGCUAGCGUUGUUCGGAAUUACUGGGCGUAAAGCGCGCGCAGGCGGCUAUCCAAGUCAGUGGCGAAAGCCCGGAGCUCAACUCCGGAACUGCCAUUGAAACUGUUUAGCUUGAGGAUGAGAGAGGUGAGUGGAAUUCCCAGUGUAGAGGUGAAAUUCGUAGAUAUUGGGAAGAACACCGGUGGCGAAGGCGGCUCACUGGCUCAUUACUGACGCUCAGGCGCGAUAGCGUGGGGAUCAAACAGG
rnacentral:rRNA from 1 species